rnacentral:lncRNA from 1 species
AGCAGAGCUCCAUCAGUCUCUUUUGGAGAGCUGUGAACGUGACCAGACCUAUUAAUUACUUAACUGAGGUGCUGAACUUUGAAAAUGAAAGUUCCGGUGGGGAGUUCUGUCCUUUCCAGCCUGGGGAGCUCUGUCAGGGCUCUCCUGAGCGUCUCUUUCAGCUUAUCAAGCUCGCUCGGGGACCGUCUCUGAGAGAGAGUCUCACUCUGUCACCCAGGCUGGAGUGCAGUGGCAUGAUCUCGGCUCACUGCAACCUCCGCCUCCUGGGUUCAAGUGAUUCUCCUGCCACAGCCCCUUGAGUAGUUGACGUUACAGGCACCCACCACCGCACCCAGAUACUUUUCGUAUUUUUAGUGGAGACGCUGUUUCACCAUGUUGGCCAGUUGGUCUCGAACUCCUGACCUCAAGUGAUCUGCCUGCCUUGGCCUCCCUAUGUGCUGGGUUAUAGGCGUAAGCCACUGUGCCCUGCUUCAUGUCAUUUUUAAAGAGCCCACACAACUCCUGUAGCUGCAUUACGACAACCUCAACGGCAAGACCUCGACGUGAUAUUACUCCACGUGAAAGUCUAAAAGGCGCUGAGCACAGUGCUCUGCCAAUGGUGUGUCUUCCAGCCUCGCUUGCUGAGAGAACAGAUGUGCCGGGGAAGAAAUGGACAAAGCUGGGAAAGGAGUCUAACUUCUUCAAAGCGGUUGGGCACCGCCGCCAUGUAGGAAGUGCCUUUAGCCUUCUGCCAUGAUUGUGAGGCCUCCCCAGCCAUGUGCAACUACUGGGAAAGUGAGGUGCAGAGGUAUUUUGCAACGUGCCCACAGAACCCCAGCGAGCCCGUGUUGGAGUUACAACUGUGCCUCAGGGAGCAUUCUCAGGCAGCAUUCUCUUAUGCUUCACCGUCUCACAGAUGAUAAGGUUUCAUUCAAGGACUUACAACAGCAACCCGGAGGGAGCAUUCUCAGUGGCUGGUAGAUGCCAUUUGUACUGAGCAGGACAAUUAAGCCCAAUUCUGGAAAAAUUCUGCUUUCUCUAUUCAAUGCAUUUUAUAAAUGUCUUCACUCAGCACAUUUACCCUACUAAUUAUAUUUUGCUUUGUGAUCAUGGUAUGUCAUUUGCAUUCCUUCAGCACACACUGACUGAUGGGGAAGAGAUGUUGGGUGACCCAGGCAAGCCAAACAGGAUUAAAGCCUGCUGUCUCACCAGGUGGAUAAUCCACUUUGAACACUUGAGAGGGGAGUGUUGAGAUCACACCCCUUCCCAUGGGACAUUUUUCUGGGAAAUAAAAUCGGUGACAAACACCACGCUUGAACACUCACAUUGACUCUAGGGUGCAGGCUGAGCUCAUCUGGUGCAGGGGAGUAAUGCAGAGGCGAGGCCUGAGUCAGCGCCAGGCACAGGAAGGGGAUGCAGGAUGCACCACAGCCCAUGCCUCUUAGGAGAAAAUCUGGGCCUUCUCCAUGGCUGUGUCUCUAUUAAUUUGCUAAGGCUGCCCAAAUAAAGCACCACACAUGGGCAGCUUACAUAACAGGAAUUUAUUCUCAGUUCUGGAGGCCGGCAGUCUGAGAUCAAGGUGUCAGCACAGCUGGUUCCUUCUGAGGACUGUGCAGGAGAAUCUGUUCCAGGCCUCUCCCUGAACUUCUGGGGGUCACUGGCCAUAUUUGGCAUUCCUUGGCUUAUAGAAGCAAUACCCCAAUUUCUGCCUUCAUCCGCAUGUGGCAUUCUCCCUGUGUGCGUGUUUCUGUGUCCACAUUUUUCCUUUUUAUAAGGAUACCAGUCAUGUUGGAGGUCUACCCUACUCCUUGAUGACCUUAUCUUAACUAGUUAUAUCUGCAACAAACCUAUUUCCAAAUUAGGUCACAUUCUGAGGUCCUGGGGGUUAGGACUUUAACAUAUGAAUUUUAAGAGGACACAGUCCAACCCAUAAUAGUAACUUUGUCCCUCUCUCUCUUUUGACACAAUAAUGACCCUAUGCAGGGAUAUUUCUAGGUGGCUACUGUCUGUGUGUGUGUGGUAGGGGGACUUCUAGUACUGUUUUGGAUUACUGUUGACAGACAGCAGCCUGAGGCUAGGAAGCACUUUGGGGCCAUGACUUAGAGCAAAGCUAGUAAGUUUUCUCAGGAAUUUGAACCCAGAAUUUCAUCCCCAUGGCACUUUAAUCCAGUACAUUUAAUGGCUCAGAUGACCCUGGCCUUAUCAGCCUGGUGCUCUAAGCAGCUGACCUAACAGUGUGUGCAUGCGUGUAUGCACAUGUGUAUGUUAUGUGCAUAUAUAAGUGCAUACACAUAAUGUUGGACACAGAAAUAUCUCUGAGAACUGUCCCUUUAUCACCCUUCAGAUAAAAUUAUUCUCAGCUUGCUUAGUUGCAGUGUUUCUUACUUUGCAUCUCCUAACACUUUCAUACAUUUCUCCCGAAGUGCAUAGGCAAGGAGCUUCAACGGAAUUCAAUGUCAACCUGGUCAUCUUACCAUGAUUUCUAGGAAAAAAUGUGUGUAAUUGGUUCAUGCCCUCCUUCUGUACAGAUUACAAUUCUCCUUUUUUGGCAUGAAAACCUCCAUCUGUCUUUUGAAAGCACAUGUCACUUAUUUAUUAAAGUCCUCCCCAACUUGUUCAGGUUGAGUUUCACUAGUACCUUUCUGGAGUAUUUUAUACCUAUGUUAUAGCCCCAUAUGUUAUACUUUGGAUGUCUGUUUACCUGUCUGUAAGACUGUCUGCAUAAUUCAUGGGCCUUGUACAAAAUAAGAAUUCAGGGACUCUUGUUACAAGAAACUAUUAAGAAUUUCAAGAUGGGUCAGGCGCGGUGGCUCACGCCUGUAAUCCCAACACUUUGGGAGGCUGAGGCGGGCAGAUCACGAGGUCAGGAGUUCGAGACCAGCCUGGCCAACAUGGCGAAACCCUGUCUCUACUAAAAAUACAAAAAUGAGCUGGGCGUGGUGGUGUCUGCCUGUAAUUCCAGCUACUCAGGAGGCUGAGGCAGGAGAAUCACUUGAACCUGGGAGGUGGAGGUUGCAGUGAGCCAAGAUCGCACGGUUGCACUUCAGCCUGGGAAAUGGAAUGAGACUCCAUCUCAAAAAAAAAAAAAAAA